UACAGAGGGUGCAAGCGUUGUUCGGAAUUAUUGGGCGUAAAGGGCGCGUAGGCGGUGCGGUAAGUCUGCAGUGAAAUCUCUGGGCUCAACUCAGAGUCUGCUGUAGAAACUGCCGUGCUUGAGGACUGGAGAGGAGACUGGAAUUUACGGUGUAGCGGUGAAAUGCGUAGAUAUCGUAAGGAAGACCAGUGGCGAAGGCGGGUCUCUGGACAGUUCCUGACGCUGAGGCACGAAGGUCAGGGGAGCAAACGGG
rnacentral:rRNA from 1 species